ACGAUUGUGCCUCUCCUGAAUUGGUCAUCAUUAUAUACCUAGUUUCGGUAUCCCGAUGCCUUUUCUUUUCGGUCGAUUUAUCCUUUAUUAACCCAGUAACCGGUUGUGGAUAAUCGCCCAUGCGAGUAUACUAUCUACGUUCUGACGGUAAUAGAUGAUGUAUCUCAUGCACUCUUUGGUCGAAGCUUUGUUCUUCCCCAGUCGAGUAAAAGUCGUAUCCCCUUUACGGAGUCGAAUAUCCAUCCUAUAAUCGAGUUUGCUUAUUA
rnacentral:lncRNA from 1 species